rnacentral:rRNA from 1 species
GCUUCAAACUGGGAUUAGAUACCCCACUAUGCUUAGCCCUAAACAUAGAUAAUUAACUAACAAAAUUAUUUGCCAGAGAACUACGAGCCAUCGCUUAAAACUCAAAGGACUUGGCGGCGCUUUAUAUCCAUCUAGAGGAGCCUGUUCUAUAAUCGAUAACCCCCGUUAUACCUUACCAUCUCUUGCUAACUCAGCUUAUAUACCGCCAUCAUAAGUGAACCCUAAAAAGGAACUGAAGUAUACGAGAAAAUCAAACAUAAAGACGCUAGGUCAAGGUGUAGCUUAUGAGAUGGAAAGCAAUGGGCUACAUUUUCUUAAAAAGAACACUACGAUGUCUUUUAUGAAACCUAAAAGAUCAAGGAGGAUUUAGCAGUAAAUUAAGAAUAGAGUGCUUAAUUGAAUUGAGCCAUGAAGCGCGUACACACCGCCCGUCACCCUCUGCAGUCAAAAA